rnacentral:rRNA from 1 species
AUGGGAACGCGAAGAACCUUACCUAGACUUGACAUCUCCUGAAUAGUGUAGAGAUACAUGAAGCCCUUCGGGGCAGGAAGACAGGUGGUGCAUGGUUGUCGUCAGCUCGUGUCGUGAGAUGUUGGGUUAAGUCCCGCAACGAGCGCAACCCUUAUUACUAGUUGCUACCAUUAAGUUGAGCACUCUAGUGAGACUGCCCGGGUUAACCGGGAGGAAGGUGGGGAUGACGUCAAAUCAUCAUGCCCCUUAUGUCUAGGGCUACACACGUGCUACAAUGGUGGGAACAAAGAGAUGCAAUACCGCAAGGUGGAGCUAAACUCAAAACCCCAUCCCAGUUCGGAUUGUAGGCUGAAACUCGCCUACAUGAAGCUGGAGUUGCUAGUAAUCGCGAAUCAGAAUGUCGCGGUGAAUACGUUCCCGGGUCUUGUACACACCG